GGCUCUGCCCAAAAGUAUAAAAGUGUCAGAGCUUGGUACUUUCCAAAACGGAUAGGGAGGAUGUCACGUGUACAGGAUGUGGGAAAAGGACAAACUCGAAGCACAGCAACCUCUUCAUUUCGCUUCUUGCUUUUCUGGGCUCUGCACAGAUUCACUGAAAGAAGAAGACUUUUCUUGUCAUUUCAUCACCCACUUACCAGGCUUGGUCUUCCUCAACGUGUCAAGGUAAGACCCGCUCCCUAUAGUUUUGUCACUUAGAUAAAAAAAAGAAAGCAGUUUGCAUAAUAUGGGGGGAUUUUUAUUGGGACAAAUAUUCAAUAACUUCACUGCUAUACAGUGUUACCAAAAUCACUUCACACAUCAAAGGUUUUCUGAUGGUCAUACUACAACACUUAGUUUGGGAGCAUGCUGUACCCACGAGGACUUUAAGGUGUUGUUCCUCCAACAAAUCCUGAUUACUCCUGACAGAGUCUUCAGGUCAGGAAAUCAAGAGGAGCUGAGGAAUGUGCAGAGGGAGCUGCAGAAGAGGAUCAGCGAGGGAAAAAAACAGCUACACAAGGAAGAUGGAGGAUCAGUGAGAGCAAAGCAACAUCAGCGGAGUCUGGAGGGGCCUUGUAUCCGUCUCUGGGUACAAGGGCCUGACUCCCAGCCUGUGGGGGGCUGAAAGUGGGUGCACGAUCUGAGCCUUUUCUUCAAUAGAUGUGCUCAGACAUCUGCCCCGCCCCAUGUCCAGUCCUCCCUGCUGCAACCUUCAUCGUCAACAGCCCCUGUGUACAACCCCACCCCAACGUACAACUCCUUCCAACAACCUCCAGCACGCACUCUGCACCUUAAGGAUGUUUGACAGCUACAUGGCAGUGGCACUGACAUCACACCUGAUAAAGACCCUGGAGAGGCUGGUUCUUAUCAACCCAGUCUCUUGAUGAGACCAAGAGAUCAGUGGACGGACUACAGUUCGCCUGUCAAACUGGCACUUGGAUGGAUGAUGCUGUCAUGUACCUCCUACACAGAUCCCUCUCUCACCUGGAAAAGGCUGGGAGCACUGUGAGAAUCGUGUUCUUCCAUUUCUCCAGUGCCUUCAGGACCAUACAGCCCGAGCUAUGGGGACAAGUUGGGGUGUACGGGUGGACCACCACGUCACAGCAUGAAUCACGGACCACCACAACAACUGACUACAGUAUGUGACGAUACAGGGCUGUGUGUCUGACAUGGUAUCUGCAGCACAGGGACCCCCACAGCGAACAUUCCUGGCUCCUUUCCUCUUCAUCCUUUACAGUGCAGACUUGGUGUUGUAGUGACCAUCAGGAGAUCAUUGAUGUGGUGACACUACAGUGUGUGACUGUGAAGUUAUUGACUAUUUUUCCCAUAUAUAUUCUAUGGGCAUAUACGGCCUGUGUUAUGGUUCUAUGUACUUGAGAUGCGAGUGUCAGAAUCAAUUUUCAGAUUUACAGCUGUUUUAAGAGUCAGUUUUUUUCUCCAGACUCUCAAACUUCAAUUUUGUGGGGUAAAAUGGACGUUUGGGAUUUUCUUUAAUUUUGGUUAAUGUUCUGCAUUAAUUUUCCUUUGUAUUGCAACGAUGAUUAAUUUUAAAGCUAGCGCUAACUAUGGGUGGAGUCAGUGGAGGAAUGAUCAAAGCGAAACAAUCACCGUGUUGGAAUGGAGGAACCCGAGGGGAAUGCUGUCUCACAGCACUGGCCACUGCCAAUGCACUUCUCCACAACAAGAAGAAAAUGCUUCAGUGGACUGACGACGCUGAGAGAUGAGGAAACUCAACUGCUUUGUCCGUCUCUCUGUUACUGAAGACAUUAAAUACAUUUUUGUCAAACUGCUUUGUUGUCAUUCUUGCAUUUCCUCCAAAACCCAAGGUUACAAUAGAAAAUAAUAAAGAAAAGAUUUCCAUUUCAAAAUAAUAAAAAAUUAGAUCAACUUAGAUGCACAACUUGGAAAUUUAAAGCAACAAAUAUAUGCGUCCCCGCUGGCUUUUUACGAACAGACCUUGGGAAGCUUUCCGUAGGUGAUCAACUUGACAUACAUUAGAGAGCAUGCAACGUACCGUAUUGUUCCUAAGCCCUUCAGAUGAGACUCAAGCUGGAGACGAUGUGAACACUCAUUUGGAAAAACAUGACAGACGCUCAGCAGUGCCAGAAGGCCUGGUAUGACAAGAGAGCUCAAAUAAAGGAGCUUCGAUCCAGGUCAGAAGGUGCUUGCGAUGCUGUCUUCAGAAUUAAGAAAAUUGCUGGCUGGGUGGCAGGCCCCUUUGAAGAAGUGGAGCAGGUAGGGCUUGCCACUUGUUGUUUUGUCUCGUCGUGUCUGAUGAUGUUUCUGUUCACAGCGUCAUGUCUUGUCAUGCACUCCCUGUUUUAUUGUUAAACCUUACUGUCCUCUCAUUUCAGAUCAUUGACUUCCUGGUGUCCUUCCCGCCUGUCUGAUUGUCUACCCUGCCCUAAUUGUGUCCACCUGUUUCUUGUUACCUUGUGUAUAUAUAGUCCACGUCUCCCUUUAUCCUGUGCUGGAUUGUCUCGUAUCCCUUGUCCUGUGAGCCAGCCUGUGUUUUCCCUUGCUAUCAGAGAACUUAUUGAAAAAUCUUGUUUUUGCCUAAAAAUACCUAGAGUCCUUUUGUUUGUUUUGUUAAGAUCCUUGCGCCUUUUGUUACCCUUGUGAUUUCUUUCUUGAUGAUUAAAUCUAGGCUCUGUGCUCAACCUCCUUUGUUUGUGUGAUUUGUGUCUGCAUUUGAGUCCAAAAGCCUUGAGCUCCAGAGCUUGACAGCACAAUCCGGCCAAAAAUGGACUCAGCAGACCCAAACCACUUGCGAACCGCCUUAACCGUUCUGGGGAGUCUCUUCCAUCAGCAUGAGGACCAGCUCCUGAGCUUUCAGCAAGGGUUUACAGAGCUUUCAGACCGACAAAGCGAACUACAGCUGAAGGUUAUGACCUUCUCACCGAACAGUUUCACCGGAUAAAUAACUGCCUGGAAAACCCCUCACAGCCCAAUGAAGCAGGCUCCUGUAGAGCCAGCCUUCACCGCUCUUCCCGUCACCAAGCUGGCUCCGGGAGCCCCUCGCCUCGCUCCCUCAAAAAGAUUUUCAGGCGAUUCAGGGGAUUGCAGAUCCUUCCUGGUCCAGUGAGCUGCACUUCAAGCAAUACGCCGGUGCGUAUCCUAAUGAACAUUCAAAAGUGGCCUUCAUGAUUUCCCAUCUCUUUGGGAUGGCGUCGGCAUGGGCAACUGCUGAGUGGGCGAGAGAGUCUGAUCAUGGGUCUCCAGCCCAUUUGAUCAUGGGACUCCAGCCCAGGAAGCCUCUCGGACGUUGCUGCGCUUGAGGCAGGGCUAUCGCCGAGUAAUUGACUAUGCUAUAGACUUUCGCAGGCUAGCAGCCGACAGCGGGUGGAACAGUCCUGCUUUAAAUGAUGCCUUUGUCAACGGACUGUCGGAGGCGUUGAAGGACCAGCUAGCUCCCCUGGAUCUGCCCCCAGACCUGGAAACCAUCAUCGCCACGGCCAUCUGCAUCUCGACUAUGCGAGAGGGAGAGAGACAGCCAGAGGGAGGGCCCUCGCAUUACGGAAAAUGGGAGAUGGACCACGUGGGAUGCAGAGCGCCUUUACUCUCUACAGCAGCCCCUUCACCUUCCCGUUCCUGCAUCGCCACCUCCUGGCCUAGAGGAACCCAUGCAGAUAGGACAAGCCAAGCUGACCCCUGAGGAGAGGCGCCAGCGUGUAAGUGAAAACGCUUGUUUCUACCGUGGGGAGCAGGGACAUGCGGAUUGUCAGGUAAAAGAUGUGGCUUACCAGCCGAGAGGAGGGCGUUGGUGAGCCAAAUGACUGCUGAGCAGAAUCCUCCUCGCACCUUGACCAAGGUAACAUUCAGAGUUAAUGAGUUGUGUGAACUAUAGACGCUGAUUGACUCUGGCACGGAUGAGAGUUUCUUGAACUGGCAAAUCGCCAGAAAAAUUCAGUUGAGGGUUGAAAAGCUCUCUCAACCUAUAAAUGCCAGCACCUUAAAUGGGAGCUUUUUGUUUCAACUGAUUCACUGUACUGAACCAUGUGUAAUGAAAGGACGCGGUUCACCAAGAAACAGUCUGUUUUCAUUUGUUUGAGUCAGCACAGCAUUCUUUAUAUGGGCUUUCCCCGAUUAAGAAAACACAAUCCACACAUAGACUGGGAGUCAGGAAAGUUCAGGGGUGGGGAACGGAUUGUGUCGCAAACCGUAAUCUUGUUUCUGUUUACAGUGAGAAAGAACGUAACUGAAUCAUUCUCAAUGCCAAUGGGAGAGUGAGCGAUACCCUGACCUGUCGCAGGUUCCACGGUGCUACUGGGAUCUUAAGGAGGUAUUUAACGAGGAUAAAGCCACAUCAUCGCCUCCGCACAGAUCCUCCAAAGGCAGGCUAUAUUCACUCUCCGGCCCAGAACACAGAGAUGAAGAUGCUUACAUUCAAGCCUCACUUAAAGCAGCAGGCACACUGGUUCACCAAGCUGGUCUGAAGUAAGCCUACCACCUGAUCCGCAUCCGACAGGGGGAUGAAUGGAAAGCAGGGUUUAACACUGCUAGUGGUCAUCACGAAUAUUUGGCAAUGCCUUUUGGACUGACGAACACCCCAGCGGUGUUCCAGGGAUGCAGACAUCGCUUUCCAGCGCCUGAAGACGGCCGUCACCACAGCACUCGCGCUAACCGUACCAGACCCACAAUGCCAGUUCGUGGUCGAGGUGGAUGUCUUCAAUGAGGGAGAAGGAGCGGUAAAAAGGUAAGGCAAGGAGUGGGUAACCAGGAGCUGCUAGUGGUAAAAACUACCUUAGAAGAGUGGCGCCACUGGCUGGAGGGGGCUGAACAGCCUUUCCUAGUUUGGACUGACCAUAAAAAUCUCAAAUACAUAAAGAAAGCAAAGAGACUUGAUGCUAGACAGGCCCAGUGGGCACUGUUUUUCAGCCGGUUCCGGUUCACUCUGUCAUGUCUGUACGAACCGGAACCGGCCACCAAGGAACCCGAGUCCAUUCUGCCACUGAAUUUUGUGGUAGGAGGGGUUUCUUGGCAAAUAUAAAAGGAUGUGCAACAGGCUAAUGAGGGUGGCAAUAUCCCUGCAGGUUGUCACUCCAGACUAUUUUAUGGUUAUAGUGAGUUUUUCAUUUUGCUGCCUAAAUGCAAAACCACGAAAUAUUUGCAGUAGUGGCACAAAAGUACACACAGAAGUAUAACAUAUCAAUUUACUGAAUGUUACCUCUGUACAGGUUGAUGCAAAUGAAGCAAAACAUGGCAACAGUGAGUAAUGAUGAAAAUACACUUUAUAUUACUAUAAGUUAGUGUUGUUGUGGCCUCAUGGCAUUAAUCUAGAUUUUUUCCAUUAAUAUGAAUUACAGUGUUUGAUGAACAGUAAAUACAACAAAAUUUGUCAGUAACUGACAACAUGAAAGUGAUGUAUGUUACUGUUUGGGGUGUGUGUAUAUAUACCAUAUUUAAAUGUACACCACACUGGAAUUACACCAUAAUUUCACUAAAAACUGAGAUUUUGUGCUAUUCUGACAUAGUUAGAGUAUCCGGCUUUCUUGUCCCUCAGUGCAAAAGUGUGUGAGUGUGGCUUGCCGUUCCCCUCCUGCUAAUCAACCUGAUCACCUGCAGCCCAUCCACUCAUCAAGCUCCUGCAGUAUUUACACCUCUGCUCUACCUGUCAGUCUUCGUCAAAUCGUGUAGUUCAGUAAUGUGUCACUAAGGCUACGACCAAGCUCUGAGUUUGUCAGUAUUUAACUUGUGUUUUGCUGUGUAUCAGGUUCAUAUCCCUCCGUGAUCCCUGCUUGCCUCGCCCAGUGUCCUACAUGUUCAUCCUCAGGAAAACACACCAGCUUUCCCUGUCUGCCCUGCUUCACCAGAAACUGGAUCAGCUCUCCAAAUCCUGGAGCGUGAAAACAGUCUGAAGAGGUUGCAUUAUUGUAUGGAUAGAAGGAUAUCAUUCAUAUCCAUUCAUGUGUGUCUAAAGGGCCAACGGAUCAUUUCCUUUACAGAAACUAAUUAGAUCACCUGCGUUAUGCAGGCUUACAAAAAUAUUAGAGUGAAUUAUAGUAAAUGUUUAUCCCACAAACAAAAUGUUUACCACUGAGGGAAAUGUCAGAAUGUUGUGUAAUUUAGUCCACCUCUUUGAAUGAGGUUUUGCUGAAUUUCAGUUUUCUUUUACCAAUUUUUUUUUGUACAAAAAUAAGCACAAAUGGCAAAUUUGUCAUUUAUAUUUGUGUAAUUUAUCAGCAGUGAUGAGAUGAAGACCUGUUAAUGUGUACUGUAACUUCUUUGUGGCCAGUUUUUUUUGAUAAUAAAACAUGACACAAUAUGUUUCGUA